rnacentral:rRNA from 1 species
GCCAGAGACUUAUCCCCAUGCUGUUCUAGCCUGGUUUCCAGCCGAAGCUAAACAGGGUUGAGCCUGGCCAGUACCUGGAUAGGAGACCUCUUGGGGAAAACUAAGGUUUCUACUGGAA